GGCCGCGGUAUCCUAACCGUGCAAAGGUAGCAUAAUCACUUGCCCAUUAAUUGUGGGCUAAAAUGAAAGGACUGAACGAAAUAUAAGCUGUCUCUGUAAGCCCAAUAAAAAUUAAUCUCCAAAUGAAGAAUAUUGGAUUUACUUGAAGGACAAGAAAACCCUAUAGAGCUUUAUCUAAUAAAAUAUUAACAAUUCUACUAAGAUUCAGUUGGGGCGACUAGGGAAAACAAAUCAUCCCUUUAUCUAAGAUAUAUUAAUCAAUUUUAUGACCCUUUAUAAAGAUCAAAAGAACAAGCUACCUUAGGGAUAACAGGCUAAUUCCAUUAAAGAGUCCUUAUCAAAAAUGGAGUUUGGCACCUCGAUGUUGGCUUAAGGAAUCAAUAAGACGCAAAAGUCAUAUAAAGAUGGUUUGUUCAACCAGUAACACCCUACGUGAUCUGAGUUCAGACCGGA
rnacentral:rRNA from 1 species